CAAGACUGCGAAGUGGAGCAAANCCCUAAAAGCCAUCUCAGUUCGGAUUGCAGGCUGCAACUCGCCUGCAUGAAGCUGGAAUUGCUAGUAAUCGCGGAUCAGCAAGCCGCGGUGAAUACGUUCCCGGGCCUUGUACACACCGCCCGUCACACCAUGAGAGUCGGGAACACCCGAAGUCCGUAGUCUAACCGCAAGGAGGACGCCGCCGAAGGUGGGGUUGAUGAUUAGGGUUAAGUCGUAACAAGGUAAC
rnacentral:rRNA from 1 species